rnacentral:RNase_P_RNA from 1 species
UCUGUCGCUCUAUGCACAGCAUAAAGAGGAAAGUCCGGGCAACGCAGAGCAUCGCAUUUUCUAACGGAAAGCCGGCGGCGACGUCGGGGAUCAAUGUGACAGAAAACAACCGCCGGUGCACACAGUGUCAACGGUAAGGGUGAAAAGGCGGGGUAAGAGCCCACCGGCCCGCAUGGCGACAUGCGGGGCCGCACAUCCUGCGAGUUGCAAGGUCAAAUAUACCGGCAGCAAAGGGCUGCUCGUCCAUUGUCGGGGGGUAGACUGCUAUAGUACGCCGUGCAAACGGCUACAAAGAUAAAUGACAGACACUCCGGCCCGGCCGGAGCACAUAACCCGGCUUACAGCAUCU